GACGAACGCUGGCGGCGUGCUUAACACAUGCAAGUCGAACGAAGUGGCGAACGGGUGAGUAAUACGUGGGUAACUGCCCUCCUUUUUGGGAUAAGCCUUGGAAACGGGGUCUAAUACGGAAUAGUGGGGGUUGACUCGGGUCCUAUCAGCUUGUUGGUGGGGUAGGGGCCUACCAAGGCGACGACGGGUAGCCGGCCUGAGAGGGGGACCGGCCACAAUGGGCUGAGGUACUGCCCAAAAUCCAACGGGAGGCAGCAGUGGGGAAUAUUGCACAAUGGGGGAAACCCUGAUGCAGCAAUCCGGGUUCGUGAUGACGGCCUUCUGGUUGUAAACCGCUUUCAGCCAUGACGCGGUAGUGGCAGAAGAAGCACCGGCUAACUACGUGCCAGCAGCCGCGGUAAUUC
rnacentral:rRNA from 1 species